CGUAUGUGUGUGCUGAUUGCAGAAACUAACCCAGCAAAGAGGAGUAAACUGCAGUCUCUUUUUACCCGAUCCUCAAAUUUCACAUCAAACAGUUACGUUGUUGAGUAUCAUCUGUCUCUGUGUUGACUCGUACAGCACAAAUUGGGGGGUUGCUCUCCAGUUAGUGCCUGGGCUGCUGCCACAAUAAAAAGUGGUGUUCUCACCCCAUGCUUUAUGCCAAUGGGAUGAAGUGCAAGAGGACAAGGGAGCUGCAAUGAACAGAGGAGGAAGGCAGAAGGCUGCUGAUGUACGAGCCAAACUCAUCUCUCCAGCAGAGCCUGCAAUGUGUCCGUGCAAGUUUAUAAGUGGUUGACUUGCAAUGCUGCCAAAUAAUGUUGAUAAUUCAGGUUUGUAAGUGUUGCUCUGAGUUCUUGGGAUUUUUGAACCCAGGAGUGCUCGGGCUUAGAAAGCACCUCCUGAAGCUAGCGUGCAUAUUUAAUAGAGCAAGAUUCCUUUCAAGUGAAACACAGUAAGAACCGUUCCUAAACCUACAAAAGGAGGGUGCUCUGCCAAGGAAAUUGAGGAAUAGAGGAGUACAGGUAGCUUCAUGUGCCCAGCUGAGCCGUGAUGCUGCUGGCCAGGGUGGGCCUCGUCUCUGCCUGCUUCAAAUUCCCUGAUGUCUGUGCUGGAGCACAUCCGUCCUGGUACCUGGAUGGGUCUGGGAGGCAACAGGCUGGAGAGCAGAUGCUGCUUUUCUAGGAUGAAAAACCUGUCCUGAGCGUUUGGGAGGCUGGGUUUUGCAGGGUGGUGGGAGGGGUUUGCAUAUCUUCUAUUUUGGAGGAGACUUGUAUUGUGGGUGAGGUGUAGGGGAUUGGAUUUAUUAGUCUCCCACAAAGUAUCUCAAAGAACAAAGCACGUUUUGUCAAACUAAAACUCUCUCUGCAGGCAUUAAUGAGGAACCUCAACCCCCAAAUGCCCACCUUCUGAGAGCGGGGUUUAUAUACAAACUAGGAAACGGUUUGAUGUCUUGUGGCAGCUGCUGAAUAAAUACUGUGUACCCUUGUACUUAGAAAACAACCAUGUGAAGUGUGCGUGCGGGAGGGAAGGAAGAAUAAUCCCAUCAUCACCUUAGUGUUAAAACACGCUGGUGAAUUGAUAUUAAUGUCUUCAGGUCCUGAAAAUGGCAGUAGUUUUUCAUAUUAAUUACUUGGUUUCACCCUCAGCGAUGGAGUGGCUUGAGCAAUGACCAGAAGGCAAUGUUCAGAGAUGCUGAAAACGCAUUACUAUUUUACACGUCUGGAGCUCCUUGAGUUAGUACUUGCAGUAGCACCUGGCUGAGUGUGAGGCUUCCCAUGUAAGUUAUUUUUUGUCAGCCUGCUUAAAAACAGAAAGCCAUCCCAUGCUUAACUUUAAGCCAUUUGAUUCUCCUUUUCUACCAGUGUAAUACCUGCAGUUGGUGCUUUUCAAAGUGUGCACAGAGAAUGUGGAAGAGUGCCCAGCAAUGUCUAAUUCGGUGACAAGCAAAGGAAAAUCUGGAUCAUAGGUUAUGGAGGAAGUGCUGGGGCUGCUUUCUCCCUUAGUCACGACUCGGGUGUGCCCUCCUCUGGGGCUGGAGCAUCCCGCCUUCAUCCCUGGGCGCUCCUUGGAAGUCUGUCGGGUGGUGGCAUGGCCUGCUGUGAUCACAGGUUAAGGCUCAAACUGGCAGACUGACUCCUCUGCAGCCCUACUGACCCCAAGGCUUUCUGCGAGAGGUAUUACGUAGUGUUUUCCUACAGUAGACCUUAAAUGUGGGUUCGUCUGUUCAGGUUUAAAGGACUCACAGCGCACAAGCUGACACUCGUCAGCGAGGGCCUUCUCACUGAUGUUUUUAUCGAGGGCAAAUACCGUGGAAUAAAAGCCACGUGGAAUAACACGGUGCCUCUGAGUGCCUGCUGCACAUAAGUUUUAAACUGCUGAUCUACAGAGAGGUCUUACACCUGACAAAUUUCUACGGAUUACGUAAUGGGAAAGUUUGAUUUAUUGUCAACGAAGUGUCAAUUUUAAAUUCUCUUUUUUGUUUGGGGAAAAUGAAUUCUAACUCAUUAGCUCGCAUAGGUUGCUUUCUCUUAAGAGUUCAGGAAAACUUUCUGCCCUGGCUUUGGCUUCCCAUUUGCUCACAGGCAAGCAGAGAAGCUGUGCUUGACACGCUCCCGCCCAACUGGGAAGUGUCUGCCAGAACAGGCCAAAGAAGAAUGGCAUCUGUCUGGGAAGCUGCUUGAAGAAAAGUUGUUGUUGUGCUGUCUCUGAAGUUCAAGUGCCACCAAAGCGUGGGCAGUGAUAGCUGCUCCCUGCAGUCCUGUUUGUUUUUUUCUUUCUUUCCACCUUCUCUUCUUCUCGGGAGGUGGCUUGGCUCCCAGGCUGUGUGAGCAUCCUGCUUGGUGUUUGUUCCAGCCGGUACCAGGAGGUUUUGGUCCUUGUGAGAAGGAUUAAAAGAAAAAAAAAAAAAAGAGGCUUUGUGUCUUACAGCAGCACACUGUAACAAAGAGAUGCUACACCCAAACUGGUUUUGUUCAUCCAUCCUUGUUAACGUCCUGAGUUAACCCAAACUCCUGCUGCAUGAAAGGUAUCUUUCAGGACCCACCCUGCUUUGCAGUGGCUCAGAAAUGUGAAGUCUUGGAAAUGCAGAACCUGGCAGGUUUCUCUCUUUUUGCCUGCGAGAAACCAAGAACACGCUGUCAAAGCUGUGCCAAAAGCAGCAGCUGUGCCCUGCAACCUCUGCGUGCAGAGCAGGUGCUGGAGGAGAGGAGCUGCGACGGAUGGAGCUGAUGUCUUCUGGCUGGAUCUCUCCAAAGGAGUCGAUUGAAGAGGCCACGUUGUUCAGGAGCAGGAGUGUGGCCCUGGUUUACAUUUCUGGAGAGUGCAAUCUGUGAAAAUACAUGUAGGUUUAUGUAACAAAGUGUAAAAAAUAAUCAUUUGAUUUCAGCUUCGUGCAACAGCUCUUCAGGUAUAGUAGCACUGGAGUACGUAGGGUCAUGUUGUGAAAUGCUUGGUGCUGGACUUAAAAAAAAACGUCUGGUUUUGUUUGGCACAUGGCAAAAAUCUCGUGCUUCAGUGUGGAUGCAUAGGGGAGGGUAGAGCUUCGGUGGCUGAACAGGAAGAAUUCUUUGAAGUUGUGCACAGAGCGAGGGGAAAGGUGUUAUUCGGAAUGAGGAGCCUAAUUCCAGGUUUUUAAGUGGUUUGUUUUUCCUACCCGGACUUAAAGAACAGCUGAGCACAAGGUGGCUUCUGAAUUGCCAUGAUGCUGAGUAGUUUGAGGAACUCAGCUCUCUAUGCUGUCCCUCUCGGGAAGCCAAGCAAUGUCCCUAAUGUCCCUCAGCAUCGCUUACACUCAGCUGUGGUCGGUUAUUUAUCUGGGGUUUGAUUCCAGCCAGGGGCACUUGGCUCCUAGCAGCACUCUGCAAGAGCGGCGUGCUUGUUGUUUUUGCUGCAGAAAUAUCCUUCUUAGGCCAGAAUCAUCUCUGGGCCCUCAUAUGAAACACAAAGCUGGCUUACAGCUUCAGAUGGGAAAAGUCAGUCCAGCAUUUUCUCCUUCCCUAACACAGCAUGUUGGGUAUGCAUGGCCAGCAGGCUCCUCGGUCCUCUUAAUUGGCCCUUUUGCUCAUCUCCUUGCAGGAAAGAGUCCGUGCCCUAAUAACCAGGGGGAAAGAAAAGCAGUCGAGUAAAUCUUACCCCAACAAUGUGGAAAAUCUGACAAAGGUAGAAAGACCGGAGGGAGUUGGAAAGAUUAUUCCGUCGCAGUGGAAAAUCGUUGGCAUCCCAGAGGAAAUCAUGAUGGUUUCUAAUUCAUCUGAACUGUUUCCUUGGCAUAACAUUAAUC